CAACAGCAGCAGCCGGCACAAGGUCCAGGCCUUCCUCAGAACAAAACCCCGACUCAGCAGCCGCAGGGCGGCAGCGCAGGUCCGCCGAAGAUGCAGUCUCCUCCGCCGAAGAACAUGAACGCGAAGCAGGAACCGGGAACCCCUCAGAAUCAAUUCAGAAAAAACCUGCCGAAGCCGGCCGCAGGAAACGGCCAGAAACCCACAAACAGCCAAGCUCCGCCGCCUCAGACUGAUCAACAGGGGGACAAACCGCAGGAAUUGAAGGCAACACUGUCGUUGCUGCGCAAACCUGGAGAGAAAACCUACACUCAGCGAUGCCGGUUGUUUAUUGGCAAUUUGCCCAAUGAUAUCUCAGAAGUGGAUUUCAGGAAGUUGUUUGCAAAAUAUGGAGAACCCAGUGAGAUCUUCAUCAAUCAAGGCAAAGGUUUUGGUUUCAUCAGACUGGAGUCACGUGCGUUAGCAGAGAUUGCAAAAGCUGAGCUGGAUGACACUCCCAUGAAAGGCAGACCUCUUAGGGUUCGCUUUGCAACCCACUCUGCUGCACUUUCUGUGCGCAACCUAUCCCCCUUUGUCUCCAAUGAGCUUCUAGAGGAGGCAUUCUCUCAGUUUGGAGUGGUCGAGAGGGCAGUGGUUAUCGUAGAUGACCGUGGGCGUUCGUCUGGGAAGGGCAUUGUUGAGUUUGCUACCAAGCCUGCUGCACGAAAGGCACUCGAUCGGUGCAAUGACGGCGUGUUCCUGCUCACAUCGUCACCACGUCCAAUUGUUGUUGAGCCGCUGGAACAGUAUGAUGAUGAGGAUGGUCUACCAGAGAAGCUUGCUCAGAAGAACCCAAAUUAUCAGAAAGAGAGAGAGCAGCCUCCACGUUUUGCCCGACCAGGCACGUUUGAGUUUGAAUACUCCCAACGAUGGAAGUCUCUUGACGACAUGGAGAAACAACAGAGGCAGCAGGUUGAGAAAAAUAUCCGUGAGGCUCGUGAGAAACUGGAAACGGAGAUGGAGGAUGCCUACCACGAGCACCAAGCUAAUCUGCUUCGACAGGAUCUUCUGAGGCGUCAAGAGGAACUGCGACGCAUGGAAGAGAUGCAUAAUCAGGAAAUGCAAAAACGCAAAGAGAUGCAGCUGAGGCAAGAGGAGGAGCGGCGUAGACGGGAGGAGGAAAUGAUGCGGCAGAGGGAAUUGGAAGAGCAGAUGAGGCGUAAGCGUGAGGAGUCCUACAGGAUGGGCAGCAGCUUCAUGGACAAUAGGGACAGGGAAAUGAGGAUGAAUCCUGGAGGAGGCCUUGGUUUGGCAGAUAUGCCUUUUGGCUCCCCCAGCCAGAAGUUUCAGUUUGCUGGAAUGAACUUCGAUGGUCACCAGGGCAUGGGUGGACCGGCGUCAGGGGGCAUGGUGCCCAACGAAAUGGAGCAUCAAGUGGUUGAGGCAGGCUGAGUGCCAGACCUUUUGAAAUAUGGUCAAUGGAUAAAUGUAGUCUAUGAAACCAGUACCUCUUGAGGCUCGCAUGGAUAUGAUCCUCAGGAAUAAAAGCUGCAGAGAAGGUGGCCGAAUUUACUGGACAGGAGUCAUAAGGAUGCAGAGUGCAGCAUUUGCGGACUUUGCAAAAUGAUUUGAACACUGUAAAAGAAGCUGUUGCUUUUGUAGAUGUUACCAGUGUUCUAAAUCUUUUUCCCCUAAUUUUACAUGCAAUUUGAAUUACAGUCUGACUAUCAUGCACCCAGAGUUACAGUCUCCAUGUACCUGGAACAGUUGCUUUUCCUGUUGUAUAGUUUCAAAACCAAAAGUCCCAGUACUCUGCAGUUUGGCAGCAUUUGUAGUGUUGUCUACAACAGGUUAAGUUCAAGAGGUUUGUGUUUCUCUUGUUUUAUCACUGUUGUAUCUUAUUGGGUUGCUGUUAAUUCUGGCACUGAUCCAGCGUCGAGGACCGGAGCCUGCAAGCUGAUAGCACGAAACAGAAGUUGCUGUGAAUGUGGGUCAAUGGUCCUGUCUGACCUGCAUUGUACAAUGGCCGGCGAUAGAGUUUCUGAAAUAAGUUUUUGAUUUUUUGAUUCUAAAAUAAAAAGUGUGAAGCAUC